CAUCUCAGUUUGUUUAGAGCGUGGUGCUAAUAUAGAGCGAGGAAAAAAAACCUUUCUGUGUAAUUAUGAUACGCCAAGGUCACAGGUUCGAUCCCUGUAUCA